rnacentral:rRNA from 1 species
UACGUAGGCAGCAAGCGUUGUUCGGAGUUACUGGGCGUAAAGGGUGCGUAGGCGGCUUUUUAAGUCUGGUGUGAAAUCUCCCGGCUCAACUGGGAGGGUGCGCCGGAUACUGAGGGGCUAGAGUGUGGGAGAGGAAAGUGGAAUUCCUGGUGUAGCGGUGAAAUGCGUAGAUAUCAGGAGGAACACCGGUGGUGUAAACGGCUUUCUGGACCAUAACUGACGCUGAGGCGCGAAAGCGUGGGGAGCAAACAGG